rnacentral:lncRNA from 1 species
AGGAUAAUGUCGAUAGAACAAAGUCAGUGCCUCCUUCUGCUGCUAAGUUAAGAAUCCCCUUGGCCAUCAAGUAUGCUUCCCCAAACUAUUUCCAAAGACGUUUGAAAAUAUGGAGAAAGUUUCAGAAAGCUCCAUCAUUACUAUGAGCCUCAGUCCCCAAUCUCUGUCUUAAGAUGCUGCUUGGAUGUUGUUGGAUCCUGCACUGGAAUGUACUAGAAGAGAAUGGGUCGGUACCAAGGUCAGUUCAUAAUAAAGAGCUUUCCAGAAGCCCCCAUCCCCACCCCAAGCCAACAGGAAUUGGCAAUGAACUUUAAGAAAAGGCUACGCGAGCCAGAAAACAACUUAGGGCUGUUUAAUUUUCCUGACAUGAACGCUGGCCACCCAAGGGGAUAAAGGAAACACCUGUCUCCCGUGGGCAGCGGUUCUGCAGGGCGUGUGGAUAUCCAGAAAGCUGCUGGGAGACUUCUUUCACCCGCCAAGUUAGAGACAAACGAACCUGUGGAAAGAGUGGUUUCGCAGAAGACCAUGGACCCCAGCCUGGGUCUCAGCUCUGCCUCUGACUAGGAAGGGGCCACUAGAAUCAGCAACCCCGCCUCUAAGAAGAACAUAAGCUUUUUGCACAGUAUUCUCUCAGGAGCUUUUAUUGAGACUCAUAAAGGAAGCAACAACACUUGAGAGUGUUGCAAAGUGGAAAAAACAAAACAGAAACAAAAACAACAACAAAAAACACGUGAACAUGACGUUGGGGGAAAGGAUGAAACCAGCCAUCGCAAGCCAGGAGAAUCCUUGGGAAGUGAGGCUCAGCGGCUGAGCAGCCUGAGCACAGAGGUUCAGGGUCAGGGUAGGGUGCCUAGCGAAUUCCCGUAACGCAGGACACUGCCCAAGCCAGCUUCAUAAAAAGUCACUCCGUUGAUUUCAGGCUCAA